AGAUUGAACGCUGGCGGCAGGCCUAACACAUGCAAGUCGAGCGGUAGAGAGGUGCUUGCACCUCUUGAGAGCGGCGGACGGGUGAGUAAUGCCUAGGAAUCUGCCUAGUGGUGGGGGAUAACGUUCGGAAACGGACGCUAAUACCGCAUACGUCCUACGGGAGAAAGCGGGGGACCGUUCGGGCCUCGCGCCAUUAGAUGAGCCUAGGUCGGAUUAGCUAGUUGGUGAGGUAAUGGCUCACCAAGGCGACGAUCCGUAACUGGUCUGAGAGGAUGAUCAGUCACACUGGAACUGA
rnacentral:rRNA from 1 species